rnacentral:tRNA from 4 species
GCCUCUGUGGUGUAGUUGGUUAUCACGUGAGUCUCAUAUUCAUGUCCUAUUCACAUAUGAUAGGUAGCAAAAACUACUUAGCGAUCUCAAGGUCGCCAGUUCGAUCCUGGCCGGGGGCA